rnacentral:tRNA from 1 species
GAGAUAUAUAAUAGGUUUAUUUAUAUUAAAGUUGUUAACUUAAAUAAGAGGGUUCAAAUCCUUCAUGUCUCU